rnacentral:rRNA from 1 species
GUAGGUGGCGAGCGUUGUCCGGAUUUACUGGGCGUAAAGAGCGCGCAGGCGGUCGUGCAAGUCGCGUGUGAAAGCCCCCGGCUCAACUGGGGAGGGUCACGCGAUACUGCUCGACUCGAAGGCAGGAGAGGGAAGUGGAAUUCCCGGUGUAGUGGUGAAAUGCGUAGAUAUCGGGAGGAACACCAGUGGCGAAGGCGACUUCCUGGCCUGUUCUUGACGCUGAGGCGCGAAAGCUAGGGUAGCAAACGGGACUAGAUACCCCGGUAGUCCUAGCCGUAAACGAUGGACACUAGGUGUUGGUGGUAUCAACCCCGCCAGUGCCGAAGCUAACGCAUUAAGUGUCCCGCCUGGGGAGUACGGCCGCAAGGCUA